GUUUCUAUCUAUAAUGAAGUGUAAUGUUUUAGUACGAAAGGACCGGGCAUUAAAAAUAAUUUUAACUA
rnacentral:tRNA from 1 species